rnacentral:rRNA from 1 species
CAGGUCACUCCUACGGGAGGCAGCAGUGGGGAAUUUUGGACAAUGGGGGCAACCCUGAUCCAGCAAUGCCGCGUGUGUGAAGAAGGCCUUCGGGUUGUAAAGCACUUUUGUCCGGAAAGAAAACUUCGGGGCUAAUACCUCUGGAGGAUGACGGUACCGGAAGAAUAAGCACCGGCUAACUACGUGCCAGCAGCCGCGGUAAUACGUAGGGUGCGAGCGUUAAUCGGAAUUACUGGGCGUAAAGCGUGCGCAGGCGGUUCGCUAAGACCGAUGUGAAAUCCCCGGGCUUAACCUGGGAACUGCAUUGGUGACUGGCGGGCUAGAGUAUGGCAGAGGGGGGUAGAAUUCCACGUGUAGCAGUGAAAUGCGUAGAGAUGUGGAGGAAUACCGAUGGCGAAGGCAGCCCCCUGGGCCAAUACUGACGCUCAUGCACGAAAGCGUGGGGAGCAAACAGGAUUAGAUACCCUGGUAGUCCACGCCCUAAACGAUGUCAACUAGUUGUCGGGCCUUCAUUGGCUUGGUAACGUAGCUAACGCGUGAAGUUGACCGCCUGGGGAGUACGGUCGCAAGAUUAAAACUCAAAGGAAUUGAG